rnacentral:rRNA from 1 species
ACGUAGGUGGCAAGCGUUGUCCGGAAUUAUUGGGCGUAAAGCGCGCGCAGGCGGCUUCUUAAGUCUGAUGUGAAAUCUCGGGGCUCAACCCCGAGCGGCCAUUGGAAACUGGGGAGCUUGAGUGCAGAAGAGGAGAGUGGAAUUCCACGUGUAGCGGUGAAAUGCGUAGAGAUGUGGAGGAACACCAGUGGCGAAGGCGACUCUCUGGUCUGUAACUGACGCUGAGGCGCGAAAGCGUGGGGAGCAAACAGGA